ensembl:snoRNA
AUCCUUUUGUAGUUCCUGAGUGUGAUGAUUGCAUGUUCAUGCUAUUGUGUGACAUGUGCCUCCCUCAAACCUUGUCAUGAUCUCAGUACAUUACCUGUCUGAUA